UCCAGCAGGUAAAUCUUCAUCACCUCUUCAGCCAAAGCUUCUUCAACACAGACAUCAUCAGCAUACUCCUGAAGACAUAACAAAGAACUAGACUGGUGAAGGUUCUCAGUCAUCCAAGUCAUGGUAAUCCUAGUAGGUCUGAGUGAAGGAAACUGGACUUCUUUAGUUCCUCGAUGCAACACUGCAUAUAUGCCACAGAAGAACAAGAGUUAGCCACUGAAGAUUGAUAAAUACAAAUGUUUGAAAUAUCAAGAUGUAAACGAUUGAGGGGUAAUUCCAAAGAAGAGGAAGAAUUAAAGGUAAUCUGGAAAGCCGAAUGACUAGUCAAUGAAGUUUCCAAAUCAACAUACAAUAAAAGAGGAGAGAGUCCAAGU